ACACAUGCAGUCGACGGUAGCACAAAGGAGCUUGCUCCUUGGGUGACGAGUGGCGGACGGGUGAGUAAUGUCUGGGAAACUGCCCGAUGGAGGGGGAUAACUACUGGAAACGGUAGCUAAUACCGCAUAACGUCGCAAGACCAAAGAGGGGGACCUUCGGGCCUCUUGCCAUCGGAUGUGCCCAGAUGGGAUUAGCUAGUAGGUGGGGUAACGGCUCACCUAGGCGACGAUCCCUAGCUGGUCUGAGAGGAUGACCAGCCACACUGGAACUGAGACACGGUCCAGACUCCUACGGGAGGCAGCAGUGGGGAAUAUUGCACAAUGGGCGCAAGCCCGAUGCAGCCAUGCCGCGUGUAUGAAGAAGGCCUUCGGGUUGUAAAGUACUUUCAGCGAGGAGGAAGGUGUUGUGGUUAAUAACCGCAGCAAUUGACGUUACUCGCAGAAGAAGCACCGGCUAACUCCGUGCCAGCAGCCGCGGUAAUACGGAGGGUGCAAGCGUUAAUCGGAAUUACUGGGCGUAAAGCGCACGCAGGCGGUCUGUCAAGUCGGAUGUGAAAUCCCCGGGCUCAACCUGGGAACUGCAUCCGAAACUGGCAGGCUAGAGUCUUGUAGAGGGGGGGUAGAAUUCCAGGUGUAGCGGUGAAAUGCGUAGAGAUCUGGAGGAAUACCGGUGGCGAAUGCGGCCCCCUGGACAAAGACUGACGCUCACGUGCGAAAGCGUGGGGAGCAAACAGGAUUAGAUACCCUGUAGUCCACGCCGUAAC
rnacentral:rRNA from 1 species